rnacentral:rRNA from 1 species
AACGAGCGCUGGCGGCGCGCCUAAUACAUGCAAGUCGAGCGAGAAGACGUAGCAAUACGUUUGUAAAGCGGCGAACGGGUGAGGAAUACAUGGGUAACCUACCCUCGAGUGGGGAAUAACUAGCCGAAAGGUUAGCUAAUACCGCGUACGCUCCUUGGACUUCGGUUCAGGGAGGAAAGCGAUACCGUGGGUAUCGCGCUCUUGGAUGGGCUCAUGUCCUAUCAGCUUGUUGGGAGGUAACGGCUCACCAAGGCUUCGACGGGUAGCUGGUCUGAGAGGACGAUCAGCCACACUGGCACUGCGACACGGGCCAGACUCCUACGGGAGGCAGCAGUAAGGAAUAUUGCGCAAUGGGCGAAAGCCUGACGCAGCGACGCCGCGUGGGGGAUGAAGGUCUUCGGAUUGUAAACCCCUUCCAGGAGGGAAGAUGGAACGAGCAAUCGUUCGGACGGUACCUCCAGAAGCAGCCACGGCUAACUUCGUGCCAGCAGCCGCCGC